UAGAAUUAUGUAUACUGAUGAUCAGUAUUACCAAAAAAUACAAAAAUAUUUCUAAAUAUUUUUCCAAAUGUUUCCUAUUCUAAGUUCUGUUUUCAAAUCUUAAAGUAAAUACGUAAACACUAUAAUCUGCACUUUAUACUAUGUUUGCUAUACUCUUUCUUUCUUUCUUUUUUCUUUCUUUUUUCUUUUUUUUUUUCUUUUUGGCUUGACCAACAGAAAUUUAUUUCUCACAGUUCUGGAGGCUAGAAGUCUAAGACCAAGGUUGUCAUCAGGGCUGGUUUCUUUUGAGGUCUCCUUGGCUUGUAGAUAGAUAUCUUCUCCCUGUACCUUUUGUUUUUCCAGCUUUAUUGAGAUAUAAUUGAUAUAUAACAUUGUGUAAGUUUAAGGUAUACAAUGCAUUGAUUUGAUGAACUUACAUAUAGCAAAAAGAUUACCACCAUAGCAUUAGCUAAUACCUAUAUCCUAUCACAGAAUUAUCAUUUUUUUUUUUUUUUUGGUGAGAACAUUUAAGAUCUACUCUCUUAGCAACUUUAAAUUAUAUAAUACACUAUUAUUAAUUGUGAUCACCAUGUUGUACAGUAAAUCCCCAGAACUCACUUAUAACAGGAAGUUCUCUGACCAACAUCUCCCCAUUUCCUCCACCCCCAAUCCCUAUCAACCAUCAUCCAACUCUCUGCCUCUAAUAGCUCAGCUCGUUUAGAUUUCACAUAUAAGUGAUAUCAUAUAGUAUAUGUCCCUGUCUUUCUGUCUUAUUUCACUUAGCAUAAUGACCUCAAGGUCCAUCCAUGUUGCCACAAAUGGAAGGAUCUCCUUUCUCAUGGCUGAAUAAUAUUUCACUACAUACGCACAUCUUCCUUAUCUAUUCCUCUGUUGAUGGACAUCUAGGUGGUUUCCAUGUUUUGGCUUUGUGAAUAAUGCUGCAAUGAACAUGGGAGUGCAGAUGUCUCUUUGAAAUCCUGCCUCCUCCUUUGGAACAGUGCACAAGGGCCGGCCCCCUUUUCUUCACUUCCUCAUCAGUACUUGCUAUUUCUUAUAUUCUUCAUAUUAGCCAUUGUCACUGGUGUUAAGUGACAUCUCAUUGUGGUUUUCAUUUGCAUUUCCUUGAGGAUUAGUUGAUCUGGAACAUCCUUUCAUGUAUCUGAUGACCAUAUGUAUGUCCUUUGGAAAAAUGUCUUUUCAGAUCCUCUGCCCAUUUUUUUUAAUCUUUUUUUUUUUUUUUUUUUUUUUUUUAAGUAAGCUCUACACUCAGUGUGGCACUUGAACUCAUGACGCCAAGAUCAAGAAUCUAAUGCUCUAUGGACUGAGCCAGCCAGGUGCUCCUCCUCUGCCCAUUUUAAAAUCAGACUAUUUGGUUUUUUGUUAUUGAAAUUUGCCAUACUCAUAAAUCAAACUUCAGCUCUAAUAGAAAGCUUAAUCUGACAGAAAUCUUGAUUAAAUUUUAGAGAUUGUUUUUACUCAUCUUCAUCUCCCAUAGAAAGACUCUGCUUUGGUUAGACUUAUCAGAGCCAUAGCCAGGGGUUUCUGGCUAUUUGGUCAAGACCUGGGAUCUCUCUUCUUUGAUGUUCUGCAGCUCUUUCCUCAGUCUUACAUUUUUUGGGUCACUUCUAAUCCUAAAAAGAAACACCCUUGGUUUAGAUAGUGUGUACAAUAGAAAAUAAUGGUGAUGAUGAAACUAAUAUUUAUAGAAUUCUUCCCAUAUUGCAGGCAAUAUGUAAUACAGAGUUUAGUUUUCACAGCAGUCCUAUGAAGCAAAGUUACUGUUAUGAUUCCCAUUUUACAGAUAAAAGAACAGGCACAGAGAAAUUAAGACAUUUGUCUAAUAAAUAUCUGUCUUUAGACUCCACACUCUAAACCACUAAAUUUGUUAGAGUGGGGGAAGUAGGCCAGAAAGUUGCAAGAGCAGUUAAUUGCUUAUUUUAGUGUAAAUUACAUGUACUGGUGACUCCUGUUAGUAGAAAUAUUAGGAAAAUAUAAUAUGAAGUCCACUAAUUGAGGCUGUUAUCUUAGCGUAACAGACUGUUUCCAUCCAAGAAUAUGACAUAGAGAAGUUGCCCAACUUCCAAAGAUUUAUAAUAUCGAAUAAAAUUCAGCUAAACUAUGAUUUUACAAAAAUGACUAACAUCUUUCUUUUUAUUAAGAGUGCUUUCUUUUCUGGAUUAUACCACCACACAUCUUGCCGCAGAAGACGACAAGGAAAUGACAUAGGGUUGAGGAAAAGGCAGGGGGAUAAAGUUUCAGGAAAAAAUCACUAGUUGAGGUCUUGAGUGGGUCAAGUGGAUUAUAAAUUGGAAAAGAUGAUAGGUAUGAAAAGCUGCUGAAAAUAGUUUGUAUUUCAGAAAAAAUAAGUUUUUGAAAACCAAAACUUAAAGUGAUUUUUAUAUUUGAAGGGAUUUAUAACUUCAAAAAGCAUCUCCAUGUUACCUUGCUAAGCUGGCCUACAUUUAAACUCUUCAAGUUAUCUUGCAUAAAGUGAAAUCUGUAUAUAAUAUUUGUUUGGUCUCUAAAAAGUAUACACUGUUUAUCUGCAUCUGCUCAAAUUCUUGAGAUUAACUUAUUGUGAGAGGAUAUUUUUCGGUACCUUUUUCGACUACUGCAAAUUUAUUUGUAAUUUAAUGUAUUUUAACAUUGCGAAUGUACAUUUUCUAAUAAAAUUAUUAUGUAUAUGUACCAUAAGCCUUAAAAGUAUUUACUCAUACUUUCAAUACAUAUUCAAGAGAUACCUACUAUGUACCAAUCACCAUGUCAAAAUCACAGAGCACCUCCCCUCAUGGGACUUACAUAUUGACAGGAACAUUAGACAUUAAUUAGUGAAGUGGUUGCACAAAUGAUUAUGUUUAAGGGAAGGGCGACGAGAGAGAUGUAUAGGAAACUAUGGGGAUGAUUAACAGAGGGUCUGAGCUGAACAGGAAUGUCAGGGACUGUUUUGCUGAGGAUAUAAUGGUUAACUGAGGCCUGGUGGAGAGAAAGGUUUGGACUGGUGCAUUUCAGGCCAAAGGCAUGGCAGGUGCAAAGCCCUGGAGGUGGUAAGAUAUUGGGGCUUUCAUGGAACCACAAAUAGAUCUAAGGUGGUUAGAGUACAGUGACUGAGAAAAAGUCUUAUUAGUUGAGGAUAUAGAGGGGCAAUUCAAGGUCUUGUAGACCUCGGGCGGUAGGUCUCCAGUGGUAAGAGGUAUUCUAACUUUACGGAUGGUUGGAGUUAGGAGUCUAAAGAAUGUCUUCAAGACUCUUUUUUCUUUAGUUCUACAUGCUUGACUUUAUUUUCAGGUACUUUCCAUUCUGUGGCAGGUUGGGCACUGUCAGCUCCAAUCUUGCAACAUCUUUGUAAGUCACAAUUCCAGAGAAAAUUAGCUCAGGCAGAAAUAUCAGAAGAGGCUCCAACUAGCCAACUUUAGCAUAUAUACCUAUCCCUGAACUGCCCAGAUGGGCAGGGAAUGGAAUCCUCUACUAACCCAGGCCUGGAUCCUGCGUCCAUUCUGGGAAUGCAAUUUGUAUGUGGAAGAGACAGGAGGGGAAGAACCUGGUCAGGCUUGUCUUAAUUACAUGGACUAAAAAGAUUUAAAACUGAAUGGAGGAGUUUCCAUCAAAGGAAGGUCUGUUGAGCUGACAAACAGAUGUUUAUUACUAUACCGUCACCUCCUGUUUUCUCAUCAUUGCAAUCGUAGAAAAUAUUACAUGCACCACUGUGGAAAAUAGAUGAAGUUGCUUGUCCCCAGCUUCUUCAGACAACAUAGGCUCCACCAAUCAACUCAGCUCUGAAUUGGUCAAUUUUCCAUUUAGGAGUAUAACGCAUUUGUGACAUACCAAUGUCAGGAAGCAUGAUACCAUAUUAGGUAUUUUGGAUUUAAGAGAAAUGGGAAGACAUUUAAGGUAAUGUGGUCUCUAAAAAAGAAACUUGUGCUCGUAGAAAUGUCUGAUUCCAGGUGCGGGGUAAAAUGAAGUUAAGACAUCUUGUGCCAGAAAGCAAGAGUGUUCUCAAAGACUACACAAGUCUUGCCAAAAGGACACAGGAGUCAAAUAAAGAGACUACUACUGGCCCAAAAUAGGGCAGUUAAAGGAUUGAAAAGAGUAUCUGUAGCUGAUUUAAACACAACAAAUAUGUGAAAAUCUAUGAGUUAAAAAUGAUAUUAAAAAUAAGAAAUGGGCUCCUGGUAUCUCAGUUGAGUGACCAACUCUUGGUUUCACUCAGGUCAUGAUUUCAGGGUCAUGAGAUUGAGCCCUCCAUUGGGCUCUGAGCUCAACAGGGAGUCUGCUUGAGGUCUCUCCCUGUGCCCUUCCCCAACGCUUGCUCUCUUUCUCUCUAAAAUAAAUAGGAAUGCCUGGGUGGCUGAGUCAGUUAAGCAUCUGCCUUCAGCUCAGGACAUGAUCUCUGGGUCCUGGGAUCGAGCCUGACUCCUUACUCAGCGGGGAGUCUGCUUCUCCCUCUCCCUCUGCUCAUGCUUUCUCCCCCCACCCCUUUCUCUCUGUCAAGUAAAUAAAUAAAAUCUUUAAAAAAAAAAAAAAAA
rnacentral:lncRNA from 1 species